rnacentral:rRNA from 1 species
UACAGAGGGUGCGAGCGUUGUCCGGAAUCACUGGGCGUAAAGGGCGCGUAGGCGGCCUGCUAAGUAGAGGGUGAAAUCCUGCGGCUCAACCGCAGGGCUGCCUUCUAAACUGUCAGGCUGGAGCACGGUAGAGGCAGAUGGAAUUCCCGGUGUAGCGGUGGAAUGCGUAGAGAUCGGGAAGAACACCAGUGGCGAAGGCGAGUCCCUGGACAAAACCUGACACUGAGGCACGAAAGCUAGGGGAGCAAACAGG